CUCAUGGGAUCCCUUUCCUGCUGAUAUUGAAAUGACUCCCACAUCUGCAGGAGUCUUGGACGGUGGCCAUCUGUUGAACCUUGAGUUCAUUUCCAGGUCUGAGGUCUCCUGUUUGAUUUGCUCCAUGGGGACUGUGCACACAGGCCCACAGCCCUCAGGUUGUGGAGGUCUUAACUGGAGGAGCCUCGGCAGGGCCUCAUGUCUCCUCUGGGUUUGAAGCUGGUGUUAGGCUGCCCACCUCAAUUCUGUCUUUGAGUCCAAGACAGCACCCCAGAUGGGAGCCACAGACUGGUGUCUGGACCCCGCUGUGCCUUGCAGUGCAGCUCUAGAGAGUAAAAGCUCUCUUCCUCCACUGCAGCUUGUCCAUCCAGCCGGAGGUGGCCAGUAUCAAGCCGCUGGGCCUGGAUGAGCAGCAGUGCUCCCAGAAGGCGGUGGUGCAGGCCCACCUGACCCAGCCUGCCUGCCUCACCAGCAUCAUCUUCGCAGAGGACAUCACCACAGGCCAGGUCCUGCUCUGUGACGCCAUCGUGGACCUCAUCCAAGGCAUCCAGAUUGUUUCCACCACCCGUGAGCUCUACCUGGAAGACCCCACUGGAGCUGAAGAUCCAGGCCCUGGACUCCGAGGGUGAGGACGUCCCCCUGCCUGUUUGUCUGCUGCAGCCCAUGCCAGAUUGUCCCCUCACCAUGACCCUGGCCUCUCUGUAUUCCCCUCUUCUCUGGUGUCCAGCCCUGCAGGUCCCCUGGAGGGCAGCUCCAGUCAGGGAGGUGAAGUUGCUGCUAGGGGAGGUGCUGAAGAGGCAGAAUCCACCUGCGAGGUGGGUCCCAAGCCCUUAGUGGCAUCGAGCCAUGGCCACUCCUGGCGCUCAGGGGCCCCUGCAGCGGGGCUGGUGUGCUCAGAGCUGUGGCAGACCCUGGAGCCAGACCCUGCUGGUCACAGCGCUGGUCCUUGGGGCAGCAGUCUUGGGGAAGCCAGCAUUCUCAGCCCCAGUGGGAGGCUGGGAGAGGCUGGCUGGGCCAUGCCUCCUGCUCCGGCUCUUGGGGUGGGUUUUGCUUCCUGGUCCAGAACUUAGAUCCUGUGUGCCAGGCACGAAAGGUCCUUUCAUCCUGGAGGAGACUGAAGCAUGGAGCAGGAUGAGAUGCAUGGUGUACAGGGUCCUGCCUGUUGGCUUGGGAUUCACCUUUUUCUCAAAGCAGAGGGAAGCAGAGGAAGGGGUAGGUGCAGGAGGUUAUGGAAGCUUGUAUGCAGGACUUUUGGGAGCAUAAGCUGUUCUUGGGAGCAGAACAGGCAAAGUUUGAGUCCACCUUGCAGCCAGGCCUUCCUAGGAGCACUUCACACACCCUAGCUCAUUUGCCGUUUGGCAACCCGACGAUGCAGGCACAGAGUGAACAUACCCACACACUCACCCGAGUGUGCACACACACACACAACAGAUGCGGAGCUCGCAAGCAGCCGAGACUGGCCCCAGAGUUGACCCUUCUGUGGAGGGCUGGAUGGAAAUAUUGUGGACUUUCCUGGCCAUAUGGUCUCUGUGGCAACUAUGCAGCUCUGUCAUUGUCUCACUAAAGCAGCCAUAGAUGAUGCAGAAAUGAAUGGGCAUGGCUGUGUUCUAAUAAAACUUUAUUUAUAGAAAUAGGGGGAUAGAUUUGGCCCAGGGGCUGUAGUUUGCAAUCCCUGUUCAUAACUACUCUGUUCUGUUUCCUGCCUUAAGUCACUUUUUAAAAAAUAGCUGUUUAUUUUUAUCAAGAUUUAUAUCACAUGAAAUUCACCCAUUUCAAGGGUACGAUUCAGCACUUUUUGGUAGAUUCACAGUUGUGCAACCAUCACCAGUGUCCAACUUCAGAACAUUUUCAUCACCCCAAAAGGAAGCGCCACACUCAUUGCAGUCACUCCCCAUUCUCUCCUCUUCCAGCCCCUGAUGACCACGAAUCUGCUUUCUGUCUCUUUGCAUUUGCCCGUUCUGGACGUUUCAUGGGAAUUGAGUCACAGUGCGUGUAGCUGUAUACAACCAUGUGUGCAGUCUUUUGUGACUGGCUUCUCUCACUGAGCACGUUUUUCAGAGUUCAUCUGUGUUGCUGUGUGUAUCCACACUUGGUUCCUUUUUGUUGUUAAAUAACUUUCCAUCGCAGGGGUGAAUGGUGUUUUGUUUCUCUGUUCAUCCUUUGAUGGACUCUGCAUUGUUUUCACAUGUUGGCGGUUAUGAAUAAAGCUGGUGAGAGCA